GAUACCUGCAAUCAAAGAGGAGUUUAGAGAGCUCUCAGCCUAAUGCUGGGAGUUUCAACCCAAGUCAGAAACCUUGUAAUGAAAUAGGAUACGCUUGAGAAAAUAUAUUGUAGUGGAUUAUAAUAUGUUGUAUGAAGUUAUUUUCAUAUCUGCUAAGAUGUGUUGUUAUGGUUGAAGAGUCUAAAUUAUAAUUACACUAUGUUAUUAGGACCUUUUUUGUGAUUUUCCCACUAAUAAAACAAAUAUUAUUUAUCCCAAUGUUGUACUCUUUAAC
rnacentral:misc_RNA from 1 species